rnacentral:rRNA from 1 species
UACGUAGGGACCAAGCGUUGUUCGGAUUUACUGGGCGUAAAGGGCGCGUAGGCGGCGUGUUAAGUCAGCUGUGAAAUCUCCAAGCUUAACUUGGAACGGUCAGCUGAUACUGAUGUGCUAGAGUGCAGAAGGGGCAAUCGGAAUUCUUGGUGUAGCGGUGAAAUGCGUAGAUAUCAAGAGGAACACCUGAGGUGAAGACGGGUUGCUGGGCUGACACUGACGCUGAGGCGCGAAAGCGUGGGGAGCGAACAGG